GAUGAACGCUGGCGGCGUGCUUAACACAUGCAAGUCGAACGGUGAAGGCGGAGCUUGCUCUGCUGGAUCAGUGGCGAACGGGUGAGUAACACGUGAGCAAUCUGCCCCUGACUCUGGGAUAAGCGCUGGAAACGGCGUCUAAUACUGGAUACGAGCUGCGAAGGCAUCUUCAGCAGCUGGAAAGAAUUUCGGUCAGGGAUGAGCUCGCGGCCUAUCAGCUUGUUGGUGAGGUAAUGGCUGACCAAGGCGUCGACGGGUAGCCGGCCUGAGAGGGUGAACGGCGACACUGGGACUGAGACACGGCCCAGAAUCCUACGGGAGGCAGCAGUGGGGAAUAUUGCGCAAUGGGCGAAAGCCUGAUGCAGCAACGCCGCGUGAGGGACGACGGCCUUCGGGUUGUAAACCUCUUUUAGCAGGGAAGAAGCGAAAGUGACGGUACCUGCAGAAAAAGCGCCGGCUAACUACGUG
rnacentral:rRNA from 1 species